UACAGAGGUCCCGAGCGUUGUUCGGAUUUAUUGGGCGUAAAGGGUGCGUAGGCGGCGGAGUAAGUUGGGUGUGAAAUCCCGAGGCUCAACCUCGGAAUUGCAUUCAAUACUGCUUCGCUCGAGUACUGGAGGGGGGACUGGAAUUCUUGGUGUAGCAGUGAAAUGCGUAGAUAUCAAGAGGAACACCAGUGGCGAAGGCGAGUCCCUGGACAACACCUGACACUGAGGCACGAAAGCUAGGGGAGCAAACAGG
rnacentral:rRNA from 1 species